rnacentral:pre_miRNA from 1 species
UGUUACCGCAUCGACUGAGAACAACAUAAUUCAUGAACUCUUAUUAAUUAUUUUAUUUAUUGGAAUUAUCGUCUCAUUAUGAGUGUUUUUAGAUCACGAGGUAAAA